CGCCAGCAGAGGGGGUGAGGGAGCCGCGGCGCCGCGCGCGGGCUGUGGGGGCUGGUCAGCGGAGUCGGCAAACAGCAAAUGCUAAGGGCAGAGUGGGAAUGUGUGCAACCUGCUUGUUCCUGCCAGAGGCCGCAGCAUCCCACUGACACCCUGCAGAUUCCUUUGCUGCCUGGGAUUCCUCAUCCCUUACUGACUUGACACUUCCCUUGCUGUUUCUGGGAUCACAGUUCGGCAUCCUUUUGCAUUUGAGGUUUUUUCCAUGUUCUGUGCUGGAACUGCUGUAAGAACAGCUGCAAGAAUACAGCCUACUGCUUCCGUCAGCGAGAGGAGGGGCAGCUCAUCAGGAGGCAAACACCACACCAAUCAAGUUAGGAAAUCUUUUCUUAGGAGAGCCAUGCCUCUGUUGCACACUUGGCCCACUAGUACUGCUGAGGGUGAUGCCACAGGAGAGGAAAUCAUAGCCUGGCCACUGCCCAACGCGGCCAGUGUGGGCUCUCAUGCAGUUCCACCUGCACAGCUGCAGAGGUGUGAGCUCAGCACUUCCCCAGGGCUGCUCUCAAGGCAUCCCAGGGCUUUGUGCCUCAGCCUGCUUACACGUUCAGGCUUUCUUCCUACAGGAGCCACAGGCCUGUGGGGAAGGGGUGCUUCUGAGACUCUCUGGUGCCAGUUUUGAUUCCUCUGUGCCGUGGCUGGUUUGUAAUCGUCACUGCCUGGGCAAAAGUGAACACUGCUGCCCUUGGCAGAGAUGGGAAUUGGCAGAUUGGAAAUCUCUUAUUUGCUGAAGUUAUUCCUUCAUAUCUCAUGUUUUCCAGAGCAGCAAAUACAGAUGCAAAUCUCCACGUGGCAAGCAGUGCUGCAUCCUUGUCUUAUUGUCACAGACCCAUCCAUUUUUAUCCCAUGCAUGUGAACCUUCCCCAUCGCAGACUUUUGCAGUGAAGCCACAAGCUUGCACCUUUCCUGUAUCUUUCUCCUGUAUCUCGGCAAGUCAGAGACAAAAUUGGCUGUUCCUUUGAUUUGCUGAUCAGCAGCAUCUGAUGUGUCAGGCAAUAGUUCGAACUGCUCAGCAGGGAUCCUCAUAUCCUGCAUUUCAACGCUCCACGUCCUGCAGUGCCAGACCUUCCUGCCUAUCUCAGCACAACUCUGAAACACUGUUAGUAUCGAAGUGAACCUUGACUUGGGCAGUUUCUUUUCUGAUAUUUGCCCUCUUGUUAAGACAAGCAUGUAUGCUACCAGAAGCAGUUAUGAAAAAAGGAAUACAGCAGAUGGGAAAAAGGGCAACAGGAAUUCAAAGAGGAAGUGGUCAGUAUUUGCUCAUAACUUUUGUGUAACAGCUCUUCUCUUGGUUCCGUGAGUAGGGAAAACCUAUUACAGCAGCAAGGAAAGGGAAACAUUUCUUUCUGUUUCUGAGCAUGAGAACCAGACUCCUCACCGCUGAAAGCUGCCCAGCACGUUUAAUUCAGUGGUGUGCUCAGGCUGCAAUGGUUCAUUGCACCACGAGUAGAAUGCAGUGCAUGUAAUUACACAUUGCAAUCUGCUGAAGGGCCCUGUGUUAGCCAAGUCCCAUCUAGCUCCCACUUUCUACAAGACCUUGUUUUCUUUGCAAAAGGGUAAAUUCCACUGCUUUCAUUUCCUAUUUUAAUUUUUAUUUUUGCAAAUUAGAAGUUUGGUGUUUGGAGGAUGUGAGUGGCUUCUGAAGAAUAUUUUGAUGAUGAGCAUGACCGCCAGCUGGGUAGAAGGGAGAUGCCCUCCAGUGCCAGUGGUGGUGCCAUGCUCUGUGCCACACCAAGGAAGGGAUCAGAGGGCUGAGACCCACCAUAAACUGCCUCCAGCACAGUGACAGAACUGCCUGCCGCUGCCGGCUGGUUUUGAAGGCUCUUGCAGCUCUGAGUGUAGCCAUGCUGGAGCCAUUUGUUAUGGAGCUACGGCCUGUUCAGGAGAAAUGAGCUUAUGCAAAUGUCAGCUAAUGAUAAAUAAGUGUCUUUAAUUUAUUUAUUAACUUUGGAAUUAGUGGAAAAGAGCUUCAAGGGAUAUUGGCAACUACCAAAUUUCAAAACUGUUUAUUAGUGUUUUACCUGUACAGUUGAAAGCACUGUCUUUGAAGAAGCAACAGUUGAAAGGAAGGAUAAUUUGGCUUUUUUCUUUUUACAGUCUCUUCUCUGCAAAUAUAAUCUUCCCACUUGCUUAUUUUCUACUUCAUCUUUCCUUUUUUCUUUUCUACUGCUGUGGGAUAAAACUAUGAUUGCAAGUACAGAACACAUCUAGGGGGACCUGAGAACAUAGAGACCACCGAAACAAUUUCAUAUUGCAAGCUCAAGUCCUCCUUUAGCUCUCACUUACAAAUGUUUUACAGCUACAAACCUGCUAGUCUCCAUACUGUAAUAAUCAUUCAACUUCAUGAAUAAUUUUGCCUAUCAACCACAAGAUAAAAUCUAGCAAUAUGUUACUUCUUUGUGUGAGAUGUGGUAAUCUUUCCUAUAGAUCUGGAAAGGGGGAGAAACUUCACAAAUUCUGAUCUGAAAAUUGCUUUUCCUUCCUCUCUGUAAAGAUCAAGGACACAAAGGCUGCAGUCCAACCUCCAGCACUGAGAGGGCCCAGUUUUUCCCAAGCUUUUGAUGCUGGGAAACCCAUACAGAGACAGAGCCUCUGCCUUUGCAAUCACUUUCCACUCCCAUGACGUUCUUUCAGGUUCAUCCUUUCAGUGCAAAAAGCCUUUCUGGGCCCUUGGUCCUAGAGAAUGUCUGAAGGUGAGUGAACCUUUAUGUCUCAUUUAGAGACCUUUCUACAUCUGGUGGUGGGAAAUGUGGAAAGAGCUGCUACCUUCACCGCUGUCAUCAAAAGACAGUCACACCAGACUGGGCAUCUAAGACUGACCUUUGGCAUGUGGUAGAGGACAAGAGCAAAAUUUCAGAGGAAGGACUUGCUGCAGUGCAGGCCAGAAUGGCUUGGUUUUGUUUAUGGUGGCAGAGAGGACUCAGUCUCACUCUCAGGAAGGCGGAACCACCUCAACGGGUUUCUUUCAAGAAGAAAUCUCUAUGUGCCUGGAGCAAAACAUAGGCAAGUUUGUGAUGCCUCAGACCAAGAGAAGUAUGGAAUAAAGCCCCGUUAUCUGUCUUGAGUUUAUGGGCACCUGAGCGUCACUGGUAUCUAAACUUCUACAGAAACAUUUGUCCAGAGAUGCAGCCAUCCUGCUGAGCUGAGAACCUCCAUGUCUUCUCAUCUAAGACAAGCAAGCAGAAUACAUGAUCACUUCCAUUUCAAAACACACCAGGGAGUAUCUUCUGCUGUUUGUGCAACAGUGUAGGAGGUAGAGCUCAUGCUCUGCAAAAGAAAGACCACUUUAAUUCCCUUCUCAGCUGAAAGGAUUUAAAUCAGUUGUUCCAAGGACAGCAAGUCAGUAAGCUACGAAAUGAUGUGGGUAGGAAAGAAAGUCUGCCUCUCUCUUUGAAGCUUGGUCACUGCAAGUCCAAGAGUGAGAUGGUGGAAGGAGAGGAAAUGUAAUAGUCAGAGUCUGCAGCCCACAAGUUGGGCGCUUAUCUGGGAGUGUAAUCCCAAAGCAAAAGAUGUAUGGAAACCAGUCCCAUGCAAGUAUAUAAGGUAUGUUCCUGUGGCCUUAGGAGAUCAGAUGUAGGUUUUUUCUACCUUACAGAAAGGAAGCUCUUUGUUGAAAGAAAAUUCUAAAAGAUUAACAAUAUAUGAAGAUUUUAAAAACUCUUCAGAAGACAGAAUGUAAAAUCUAACCCAGUUUUUUAGUGCAGAGUUCACAAACUUCUGAUCUACAGGUCCAGUUUUUAAGACGAUGUUCCCCUUCUGUUCCUUACAAGCUCUGUAUCCGCAGUGCUGCAGCAUGUUGAGUCCUCACAGCCCAUGGCAUAGCAGUUUCAAGAACUGUUAGUCCAAAUUUUCAGGUUACUGAAAGGCAAGGCUGAUGUAAAAUGAGCAGAUUUUAGGUCACUUGGGUUUUCAUUUGCAACUCUCAAAUCUUGGAAGUAAAAUGCCUGAGAACUUGUUUCCAAAAAGACUGCAAUUAAAGAGGAAAAGUCAAACUGGCUGAUUAUGGGGAAAAUGUUUAUACUUGCCUUGUGGAUCACUGUUGCAUCUCCAGAAUUUGGAUGGUGUAUUUCUUAU
ensembl:lncRNA